rnacentral:lncRNA from 1 species
CAGCCUGCGGCACCUGGAAAAUAAAGGGACACAGAGGGAAGUGGGGGCAUCAGGGAACCAUUUAUUUCGCCAGCAGGCGUCUGCAGGAGAAAACUAGAUGUAGAAUAGAAACAGCAUGUGAGGACUGGAAUAUAUGGGGUCCUGCCUAGAAAAAGUGUUUUGUCUCCUUGUUGUUAGGGCUGGCAGAUUGUGCUGUCAGACCACGGGGUGGCAAUAUUUAGACUCAGUGUGCAGAAGUUAGCCAUUUAAGGGAAGCGUAGUGUGCUCAGUAUGCAGACAGGAGAGAAACAAAAUGACUUCAGUUACUGUCCCAGUUAAUGCUCCUUGUUCUUUAUCGCAUUUCACACAAGGCUAUCACCUCCCUCCUCUGAUGAAAACUGCAGUUUUUCUAAGGAAGAGAUCAUGCCUUCAUCCUCGGGCCGCCACCACCAUGGCUGCAGCGCUCAGGGCCAGCUUUGCCGCUUUGUCGCAUUCACUGCUGUUCCCACUCUGUGCUCCUGACUGGGAAUCCUUUCGAGAGAGCUGUGUUUGAUUACUUGCUGUAGAGGCAGCUAUAAAAGCUGUACUUUUUUUUUCUUCUUUUUUCCUUCUCUGAAGUCCCUCUCCUGGCUGACAAUGGAAGAUAUGUGUGUGCUGAGUUCGUUUUUCUGCACGCUCAGGGAUGAGGUGGCUGAUGUGAAGGAUGCUUUAUAACUGGUUCACGAUAACUCUUGUGCAGCAGGGAGUGGUGAGACAUGCAGGGGAAGUGUAGCUGGCUCUGAACGGGGUGCCCAGUCUUUUUUAUACAGCCAUUGUCCCAGUGAAAACGGCAAUCAUUCCUUCACGGGACUGCACUACAUUUCCUCCUGCCCUUACCUACCUGAUGGCUGUCUCCCUCCCUCCAGAGACAAGAUCAAAUGCAGGGCAGUAAUUUCUGGACUGACCUUGACAACAGACCUGACAGAGGCUUUCUGCUGGGCUUCCAGAAUUUACUCAUAAAGCAUUUGAGCCUGCUUCCUUGGUUGGGAACCACUGCUAUAAAUUACUCCUUUUUAUUUGCUCUUUAGAAAUUGAUACAGAAAGGCAUUCAUGAUGUAUUAAUGUAACCCAGCUGAUGGCUAUGGAUAGACAGUUGUAAGCAGUUUGAGUGCUUUUCAGCUGAGCCUCACCUAAAACGAUGUUAAGUGGUAUCUAUUCUGGCCCUCCAGGGCUCUAGGGUUAGGGGGACUAAAGAGAUUAUUGGGGAUACUUUGGUCUGAACAUUGCUCACAACCCCCCAUCUAGGGCUGUUCACCUAAAGGCUGCAUGGCAGUGGUGCUCCUUCCACUGGAGAGGGUAUUGUUCUCCAAAACAAUGGCUUGCAUCAGAGCAGAAGGCCAAAAUCCCUUGGAGAAAGGCAAAACCUGACUCCACAUUGUUCCACUUGUGACUAACUGGGCUGUGCCUCCUCCUGUCUUGUUACUGUCCCUGUGCUAUUAUCUCAGGUGCAGUCUGCCAGUCUUCUGCUGCACAGCUGUCUUGCUAGGGCUGUUACAAAGCUGCUUUCCUCUGCU